GACGUAGGGGGCAAGCGUUGUCCGGAAUUAUUGGGCGUAAAGCGCUCGUAGGCGGAUCGGUAAGUCUGUGAAGAAAGACCCGGGCUCAACUCGGGGAACGGCAUAGAUACUGCUGAUCUUGAGACAGUCAGAGGAUGAUGGAAUUCCAGGUGUAGCGGUGAAAUGCGUAGAUAUCUGGAGGAAUACCGGUGGCGAAGGCGGCAUCCUGGACCGGCAUUGACGCUGAGGAGCGAAAGCCAGGGGAGCAAACGGG
rnacentral:rRNA from 1 species